ACGCUAUCACUCCUACGGGAGGCAGGCAGUGGGAUAUUGCGACAAUGGGGGAAACCCUGAUGCAGCCAUGCCGCGUGUGUGAAGAAGGCCUUCGGGUUGUAAAGCACUUUCAGUAGGGAGGAAGGUAGUGUAGUUAACACCUGCAUUAUUUGACGUUACCUACAGAAGAAGCACCGGCUAACUCCAUGCCAGCAGCCGCGGUAAUACGGAGGGUGCGAGCGUUAAUCGGAAUUUAGCAUGGGCGUAAAGCGCAUGCAGGCGGCCUGUUAAGUCAGAUGCUGAAGCCGGGGCUUAACCUCGGAAUUGCAUUUGAAACUGGCAGGCUAGAGUCUUGUAGAGGGGGGUAGAAUUUCAGGUGUAGCGGUGAAAUGCGUAGAGAUCUGAAGGAAUACCAGUGGCGAAGGCGGCCCCUGGACAAAGACUGACGCUCAGAUGCGAAAGCGUGGGGAGCAAACAGGAUUAGAUACCCUGGUAG
rnacentral:rRNA from 1 species